rnacentral:rRNA from 1 species
UGUGUGUUAGUGGAAGCGUCUGGAAAGGCGCGCGAUACAGGGUGACAGCCCCGUACACAAAAAUGCACAUGCUGUGAGCUCGAUGAGUAGGGCGGGACACGUGGUAUCCUGUCUGAAUAUGGGGGGACCAUCCUCCAAGGCUAAAUACUCCUGACUGACCGAUAGUGAACCAGUACCGUGAGGGAAAGGCGAAAAGAACCCCGGCGAGGGGAGUGAAAAAGAACCUGAAACCGUGUACGUACAAGCAGUGGGAGCCUCUUUAUGGGGUGACUGCGUACCUUUUGUAUAAUGGGUCAGCGACUUAUAUUCUGUAGCAAGGUUAACCGAAUAGGGGAGCCGAAGGGAAACCGAGUCUUAACUGGGCGUUAAGUUGCAGGGUAUAGACCCGAAACCCGGUGAUCUAGCCAUGGGCAGGUUGAAGGUUGGGUAACACUAACUGGAGGACCGAACCGACUAAUGUUGAAAAAUUAGCGGAUGACUUGUGGCUGGGGGUGAAAGGCCAAUCAAACCGGGAGAUAGCUGGUUCUCCCCGAAAGCUAUUUAGGUAGCGCCUCGUGAAUUCAUCUCCGGGGGUAGAGCACUGUUUCGGCAAGGGGGUCAUCCCGACUUACCAACCCGAUGCAAACUGCGAAUACCGGAGAAUGUUAUCACGGGAGACACACGGCGGGUGCUAACGUCCGUCGUGAAGAGGGAAACAACCCAGACCGCCAGCUAAGGUCCCAAAGUCAUGGUUAAGUGGGAAACGAUGUGGGAAGGCCCAGACAGCCAGGAUGUUGGCUUAGAAGCAGCCAUCAUUUAAAGAAAGCGUAAUAGCUCACUGGUCGAGUCGGCCUGCGCGGAAGAUGUAACGGGGCUAAACCAUGCACCGAAGCUGCGGCAGCGACGCUUAUGCGUUGUUGGGUAGGGGAGCGU